GUACCGGUCACGGACUCAACUAGUGGCAAUCCUAUUGGUUAUACAGACAUCCUUCCAAUCAUAAACGCUGUUGCGAUCGUUGUGACAAGCACGAUUUACUGCGUACGUGAAUAUUUGAAAGUGAAACAGCAUCGUAGAGGCAGAACAAGGACAGAGGGAAGAAUACCUAUGGAUGAUAUUGAGAUUGGUAUUACUUCCGUUGCAGAAAGUGGCGAAGGUAGCCAAGGACAGGAAACAGAUAAUCGGAAUGAGAACCUGUCUAUUAAGGACCAACUGGAUAUUGGAGCAAUCCCCAGAACGAAUGAAGACGAAGAAAGAGUGGACAUGCCUGUACGUUGGCAGCCCACACUCGACCUACCUGAUAUUUUUAUUGAAACGCCUAGCCUGGACCCACAGACACUUAGUUUGAUCAAUCCGUCAAAUGGCACUGAUCAGCAAGCACUAUAAUGUAGUACAGAACAUGCUACAAGCACAUGGAAAUUGGAUCAAGUCGAAAAGUGUUAUAUCAUUGCAAAGUUUCUAGCCCUUGGAAAAUGGAAGAUCUGAAACUCGCAAAACUUCAACACUGUGACACAGAAUAUAUCUGAAAUGUCAACCCGAUGAAAUUUGGUAUAAAAUGCACCUUGAAAAACACAGUAAGAAGUUAAGCUGGCUGAACAGAGAAGCAAAGACAAACGGGGUAAAUGGAACAACCAACCACUUUCCGGGCACUUAGAAACUGAAGGCUUUUCUACAACCUCCAUUAUUUCCAAACAUUGGCUAAAUAGAUUGAAUACUUACUAUAACAACAUCAAUUUAGUAUCUACAUGAUCCCAAUUUCUGAACUCGGCAUUUGCAUUUGAUAUUUGUAGGCCGUUUAGAUCAGUUAAGGGGGAAAUUAUGAACAUGUUCAGUUUUUCUUUUGUGUGUCUCAAUUGUGUUUAUGUUGGAUUAAAACAAGGUUAUGUUACUGGAAGUGCUCAUCAGACAUUUUAUACACAGCAAAACACAUGUUAUCAUCAUAUCGCCAGACACGUUAUUUCUUGUUUUAAUGUUUAGCUCACCAGAGCACGAAGUGCUGAAGGUGACCUAUUGUGUCCAGUCAUUGUACGGCGUCCUUCG